UGACUCAGGGAUUGAACCCACGUCUCCAGCGCCUCCUGCAUUAGCAGGAAGAUUCUUUACCACUGAGCCACCUGUUCCCUAUGGAGGCUUUAAAGGUGAAUGAGUUGCUUUGCCUCUUGCAGCUUAGAGAGGCUGCCUUUCUCCACCUUUAAAGCCAGCAGGGGCGGUUUGAGUCCUUCCUUUGAGAGCAUCACUGUGACCUGGUCUGCUGACUCCCUCUUCCACUGUAAGGAUGCCGGGGACUCCGUUAGGCCCUCCUGGAAAUCCAGAAUGAUCUCCUUAUUUUAAGUCUUUGAAUAUGUGUGUGUGUGUGCACGUGCGCUAAGCUGCCAAAGAAUGUGGGCAACCUCUAGAAGCUGGCAAAGACAAGAAAACAGAUUUGCCCCUAGAGCCUCCGAGCACAAGUCCAACGUCACAGAACCCAGGUCCAUUGAAACCAUACAUCAUCGUCAUCAUCUAGAGCCUCCAGAAGAAACAGCCUUGAUGACACCUCGCUUUUAGCCCCGUAAGACUCAUUUUGGACUUCUGACUUCCAGAGCUGCUAGUUGAUCAAGGCUGGCUUUGCCUGAAGGUCUGUGUGCAGAGCCAGUGGGAUCCUGGACACUCAGUCUAUGAGGAAAACCCACAUGGUGUUUUCAGAUUCAUUGUCUUUCUACAUUUAGAAGCUGAUGAUGAUUUUCCAUUCUUCAGCAAAAUGCUAUGGGAUUAUUUUGGUAAUCAAAUGUUUGUUGUUGGGAAUGAAUAAAUUGUUCUCAUCACCAGAUUUGGUCAUCUCACUUUGAAGUUGCAGAAGCAGGGCGCCGGCUUGUUCACAUGGCAUUCACUUCCACUUUGUAACCUCAUAUAAUAUAUGCUGACGGUCUUUCCCCAUUUGUAGUCUCUGGGAAGAUGUUAUUUAUGAUCCCUGAUGCUAGAGGAAAAAAAUUAGGUCACUACCUCACACGUCUUCCUUUAACCAUCCAAACACGUGGUUCUCUAGGCAGAGAUGCAUUUUCUGAAGACGAGAACUGGCUCUCUUUCUUUAUUUUUUCCUCUUCUAGUCCAACUUUUCUAAAACCAAGACUGCUGUGUUCUCAAAUGUUUGCAGAUAGCAUUUUGAAAUGAUCCCCAAUGUGUUUCUUUUUCUUUUGUGAAGUAGGUGAGCUGCAGCCUCUGUUUAAUGGUAGCAUCAUUAUAUUUUUUAUAAAGUUGCUUUUGAACUGUGGUGC